CUCGCUGAGUCCCUUUUGCAGGGAACGGGGGAACCGAUAUGGCUUACAGUACGUCCGGCGUAUGUGCAAGAGAGAAUGUCUCUUCAGCAGCCGGCUCGACCGAAAUUCAUUUCCCGAAUGGGAUGAACAGGUAGAGAAGCCGUAUUUCGAUUUCUUUCUGGGUCUUCGGGGUGAAUGUGAAGGCGACCGCCAUGAGCGGUUGACCUAAGCUAGGGCGACUCUCUACGUCCGAACCCGACAGCUAACCCCGUAAGCGUAACAAGAGAGAA
rnacentral:sRNA from 1 species